rnacentral:tRNA from 1 species
GAGGACGUAGCUCAGCAGGUUAGAGUGUUGGCCUGUCACGCCAAAGGCCGCGGGUUCAACCCCCGUCGUCCUCG